rnacentral:rRNA from 1 species
CCUACGGGAGGCAGCAGUCGAGAAUCAUUCACAAUGGGGGAAACCCUGAUGGUGCGACGCCGCGUGGGGGAAUGAAGGUCUUCGGAUUGUAAACCCCUGUCAUGUGGGAGCAAAUUAAAAAGAUAGUACCACAAGAGGAAGAGACGGCUAACUCUGUGCCAGCAGCCGCGGUAAUACAGAGGUCUCAAGCGUUGUUCGGAAUCACUGGGCGUAAGGCGUGCGUAGGCUGUUUCGUAAGUCGUGUGUGAAAGGCGCGGGCUCAACCCGCGGACGGCACAUGAUACUGCGAGACUAGAGUAAUGGAGGGGGAACCGGAAGUCUCGGUGGAGCAGUGAAAUGCGUAGAUAUCGAGAGGAACACUCGUGGCGAAGGCGGGUUCCUGGACAUUAACGGACGCUGAGGCACGAAGGCCAGGGGAGCGAAAGGGAUUAGAUACCCGAGUAGUC